rnacentral:lncRNA from 1 species
CCAUUACAGUAAGUGCCUUGCUCCCUGAGGUAAGCCCCAACGUGGGCACAGUGAAGAGCUGUGCCUCAAACCAUCAAUGCCAACACUUGCUAGACUGCAUCAUUCCCACUGGUCCAGGACAGAAGCCAAUCGCCGAAAGCCCAUGAAACAAUUUCAUUCAUUCACAUGUUCAAACUUGGAAAUCUGUUCAGCCCAGAUGAGAGCUUCAGCCUUGGCUUCUAAGAGCCGGAAUACUCCCAAGUCAAUAAAGAUGGAGUGGUCAUGGAGAACUGAUAACCUGUACUUCAUGUUCACCCUCUCACAGAUCAGCAAACUAUACUGGAAGGAAGACUGCCCCUUAUCUCUGUGAAACUUAUGAACCUAGAUUGUGUGGCUUGUUGUUGUUUAAAGAGUGGAAGAAAAUAAAAUGAUAUCACUUGACAUGUAAAAAAUUAAAUUACAUUCAAAUUAUCAGCAUCCCCAAAUACAUUGUUAUUAUU